rnacentral:rRNA from 1 species
GUGUCAGCAGCCGCGGUAAUACGUAGGAGGCAAGCGUUGUCCGGAAUUACUGGGUGUAAAGCGCGUGUAGGCGGCAGGCCAAGUCUGUGGUGAAAUCGCUCGGCUCAACUGGGCGGGGUCCAUGGAAACUGGUCAGCUGGAGGACGGUAGAGGUGAGUGGAAUUCCCGGUGUAGUGGUGAAAUGCGUAGAGAUCGGGAGGAACACCCGUGGCGAAGGCGGCUCACUGGGCCGGUCCUGACGCUGAGACGCGAAGGCGUGGGGAGCGAACGGGAUUAGAUACCCCGGUAGUCC